rfam:Aedes albopictus isolate Foshan contig7253, whole genome shotgun sequence.
UGUUCUGUGGCUUAGUUGGUUAAAGCGCCGGACUCGCGAUACGGAGUCGUGGGUUCGAAUCUCACCAAAAUAA